UCCGCGUUAUUCGCGGCAGUCUCCCGUAGGAGGACCGUGUUUCCACGGCUUCGCCCCGCAUGUCAAGCCCUGGUAAGGUUCUUCGCGUUGCGUCGAAUUAAGCCACAUGCUCCGCCGCUUGUGCGGGCCCCCGUCAAUUCCUUUGAGUUUUAGCCUUGCGGCCGUACUCCCCAGGCGGGGUGCUUAAUGCGUUAGCUUCGGCACAGAGCGGGUCAAACGCCGCCCCACACCUAGCACCCAACGUUUACGGCUAGGACUAC
rnacentral:misc_RNA from 1 species